rnacentral:rRNA from 1 species
GAUGAACGCUGGCGGCGUGCUUAACACAUGCAAGUCGAGCGAAGCACUCUGUCCGGAUUCUUUCGGGAUGACGGACUUAGUGACUGAGCGGCGGACGGGUGAGUAACGCGUGGGUAACCUGCCUCAUACAGGGGGAUAACAGUUAGAAAUGACUGCUAAUACCGCAUAAGACCACAGUACCGCAUGGUACAGGGGUAAAACUCCGGUGGUAUGAGAUCGGACCCGCGUCUGAUUAGCUGGUUGGUGGGUAACGCCUACAAGCGACGAUCAGUAGCCGCCUGAGAGGGCGACGGCACAUUGGGACUGAGACACGGCCCAAACUCCGUAACGGGAGGCAGCAGGUGGGGAAUAUGCACAAGUGGGGGAAACCCUGAUGCAGCGACGCCGCGU